GACAGCAUGGUGUAGUGGUUUAAGUAUUAGACUACAGUUCUGGAGAUCAGGGUUUGAAUUCCUGUUUGGACA